CUGGAGGCGGUUUGUAACUGUGGUCACAAAAAUCAGUGUUCUGGGAGAAAGGGAAGCAGCUCCAUUUUUUUGAGGGCCCUUUACACAGCUCAAGGUCUGGGUCCACCUUCAUGUUCCACCAAUGAGUUUGUUCACAGGGAGUGGAGUGUGUGUGGGGGGGAUGUCCUGAUGUGUGUAAGGAAUGCAUUGUGUGAAUCUGUGUUUGUAUGUGUAAGGGCUGCAAGAUGAGUUUGUGUAUGUAUGGGGUGUGUGCGUCUGUAAGGGAUGCAUUGAGUGUGUGUAAGGGGUGCAUUGUGUGUUGCUGUGUGUAAGAGAUGCAUUGCUUGUGUACGUGUGUCUGUGUGUAAUGCAUUGUGUGUUUUUCUGUGUGCAAGGUGUGCAUUGUGUGUG